UACGAAGGGGGCUAGCGUUGUUCGGAAUUACUGGGCGUAAAGCGCGCGCAGGCGGCUCUUCAAGUCAGGGGUGAAAGCCCAGAGCUCAACUCUGGAACUGCCUUUGAGACUGAAGAGCUUGAGUACGGGAGAGGUGAGUGGAAUUCCCAGUGUAGAGGUGAAAUUCGUAGAUAUUGGGAAGAACACCGGUGGCGAAGGCGGCAUCCUGGACCGACAUUGACGCUGAACGGCGAAAGCUAGGGGAGCAAACGGG
rnacentral:rRNA from 1 species